AUCUAUUUCGGGGGCUCGGCUGCGUGGCGCCCAGGACUCUCCAGGGUCUCCCAGGAUCGCUCCCCGAAUUCGAGUCGCCCCCUCUCUCUUUCGGGAAUACCAGCUGAUGUCAGUCCGCCAGCCAAAACCAGGGAGGAGAAGCGGGAGCCAGCCCUCUGGAGUCGGGAGAAGGUCUGGGGAGUGGGGUAGAGGGGAAAGCAAAGUCCAAAUACCUUCCCUUCAGACACCUCCUGGGGCCUAGACCCCACAAACCUGUUGUGGGGAGGGCAAAAUACGAUGACUACGUUCCCAGGAAGAAGGUGCCACAGCUCUUCAGGACCACGGUUGGGAGAAAGAAUGGAGGGGUUUUAGAACCUUCAGUGUGCGACUUCAUGUGCCAGCUAUAGAGCCUUGAAUGACACGUUUACCUUCAGGACUUCUCAUGUGAAAUAGGGACAUUCCCCUCCUCACUGUAUGAUGGCAGCUGUGAAAGGGCACUGCACUCGCUAAAUGCUAGUUUCCUUUCCUCUUUUCCUAAGUGACUUAUCUAAGGUCACACUGUUAAGGAAGCAGCAAGGCUGAGUCUGGGCCUCCGGGGGUCCUGACUUCAGCCACACCACAGCUGCUUCUUGUGUCCUGGGCCAGAGGUUCAUUAGUCUGAAGCAGCUGAGGAGCCCAGGAGCUGGUUUGGCCAUGACGUUCAAGUCCCAGACACAGCUGUCAGCACCAAACUUUCCUAAAUUACUCCCAGACACUGACCCUUGGACUCAGCUGCUGCUGUUGUCCCAGUUUACUGAUUCCUGCCCACCACAAAUUAUCUGUCCUGAUCUCUCCUGAAGUCUUCAUCUCAGGAUCUCAAGCUCUUGGAUCAUGGGCACGGAUAACCUGUUGUCCUCCUCUAUGGUCAAGAGGCUGCUUUUGCAAAGAAUCCAGUGGGAGAGAGUCAAUGGCCUGCUUGACGUGAACUCCAAAGUCCUCCUGGCCAAGGGUCAUCCUGCCUGGAGCAGGGCAAGAGGUGACUUGACCCUUAGGAAGAGUGGCAUCUCUAAUCUUCAACUUCCACCACCACCACACACACAAAUGCAGAGCCACCCAGGAGGAAGUAAAAAGUGCUAGGGCCUUCUACACCUUGAAAUUAUAUGUGGAGCAUCCUGCAAUAAGCAUCUCUGUGAUGCACAGUCAUUCACACCUGCUGGUCUCUCCCCCAGCUGUCUGCAAAAUGAAGAGCAGAGCACAAGAGAACAUCUUGAACCCGAAAGGCAGAGGUUGCAGUGUGCCGAGAUUAAGCCACUGAACUCCAGCCUGGGCAACAAGAGUGAAACUCUGUCUGAAGGAAAAAAAAAAAAAGCCAUUGGAGAAGACGGGGUCCUUCCAGAGAAGCUGAUCAAGUCAUAUUACUCAUCAACUGCUGGGGACCUAACAGUCACUACCAUGUAUUGAACACUUACUAUGGGCUGCAUAAUGUGCCUACUGACGCAUGUGCUGAAAGCUUUGCAUGUAUGUCUUAAAGCCACACCACUAUAACAUCAGAAUUAUCUUCUCCAUGUGUGAAAUGGGGAAACAGGAGGAGAAAGUUUACAAUCCCAGAGCUAGUAAUUGGCAGAGCCAGGAUUUAAACCCAGGAUAUCUUGAUGCUAAAGUUCAUGUCUUAACCAUUAUGAUUUAUCACCUCCUCUCACUGCAGAUCAGAAUACCAAUUUCUUACUGGGUCUGGAAAGGAGGAGAGAAGGAUAGAGAGUUUCUUCUAGGACCAAAUUGAUUCCUCCACAAAUAGGAAGAUCCCCAGACUGUGUGCACACACCCUCCUCCUCCUUCCUUCUCCAACCCUGGCUGGACCAUGACAUCACAUGGUGGAGGCUGUUUUUUAAAAAGAACUCAGGCCAGAUUUACAAGAAUGAUGCUCAGGCAGCGUGACUGUCAAGGACCGUGGCCAAGUGACCCAUAGCACACACCCAGCAGUGCUGAGAACAUAGCUAGUCCCUUAGCACCUGGGGCUGACUCAUGGUUGCUGUAGGACCCAAUGCCAGAUGCCAGGAUUGCUUUCUCCCUCCAUUCAUUAGGACUGUCCCAUGAAACCCUCCCCAGGAACCCUUCUACCCCAUCCCGGCAUGCCAGGAGCCUGGAUACUGCAUAACACAGGGUACUCAUAUUUGUUUACCAAGCCUUGAAGAUGACAGGCAAUAUGCUGAUAUGCUCAAUGCAUCAUACAAAUUGUUUUAUUUAAAACUGAACUAUUAAAUUAAGUAUCAUAGCAACUCACUUUACAGACAAGGAAACUGAAGCUCAAAGGUUAAGUAAGGGCCAGGCAUGGUGGCUCACUCCUGUAAUCCCAGCAGUUUGGGAGGCUGAGGUGGGAGGAGGAUUGCUUAAGCCCGCGAGUUUGAGACCAGCCUAGGCAAUAUAGGGAGACCCCAUCUCUACAAAAAAUUAUCUGGGCCUGGUGAUGUGUGCCUGUAGUCCCAGCUACUUGAGAGGCUGAGGUGGGAGGAUUGCUUGAGCCCAGAAGUUGAGGCUGCAGUGAGCCAUGAUCAUGCCAUUGUACUCCAGCCUGGGCAGCAAAGCAAAACCCUGUAUUGAAAACAAACAAACAGGCUGGGCACGGUGGCUCACACCUGUAAUCCCAACACUUUGGGAGGCCGAGGCAGGUGGAUCACCUGAGGUCAGGAGUUAGAGACCAGCCUGGCCAACAUGGUGAAACCCGCCUCUACUGAAAAUACAAAAAUUAGCAGGGCAUUGUGGCACAUGCCAAGGUGGGCAGAUCACCUGAGGUCAGGAGUUCGAGACCAGCCUGGCCAACAUGGUGAAACCCCAUCUCUACUAAAAAUACAAAAAUUAGCUGGGCGUGGUGGUGGGCGCCUGUAGUCCCAGCUACUCAGGAGGCUGAGGCAGGAGAAUCGCUUGAACCUGGGAGGUGGAGGUUGCAGUAAGCCAAGAUAGUGCCACUGCACUCCAGCCUGGGCGACAGACAAAAAAAAAAAAAAAAAGAAGUUGGAGCAGUGUGAAGAAGAGGUGAGAACAACCCCCGGACUGAUCAAAGCCCACAUGCCACUGCAUCCCGCGUCCAGCGCCUACAUCCUGCCACCGUCGCUGCCACCACCAUGCCCAAGAGAAAGGCUAAAGGGGAUGCUAAAGGAGACAAAGCCAAGGUGAAGGACGAACCAUAGAGAAGAUCCACAAGGUUGUCUGCUAAACCUGCUCCUCCAAAGCCACAGCCCAAGCCUAAAAAGGCCCCUGCAAAGAAGGGAGAGAAGAUACCCAAAGGGAAAAAGGGAAAAGCUGAUGCUGGCAAGGAGGGGAAUAACCCUGCAGAAAAUGGAGAUGCCAAAACAGACCAGGCACAGAAAGCUGAAGGUGCUGGAGUUGCCAAGUGAAGUGUGUGCAUUUUUGAUAACUGUGUACUUCUGGUGACUGUACAAUUUCAAAUACUAUUUUUUAUCAAGUUUUAUAAAAAUGCAGAAUUUUGUUUUACUUUUUUUUUAAGCUAUGUUGUUAACACACAGAACACUUCAUUGUUGUUUUUUGGGGAAGGGGCAUAUGUCACUAGUAGAAUGUCUCCAAAGCUGGAUUGAUGUGGGGAAAACACAUUUCCCUUCCAGUUUUGAAAGAUUUCCUCUUGGCUCCCAGGAGGAGGGAUUCCCUGACUUUGACACACAUGGCCACCUUGGCACAAAAGCCUUGUGGUAUGGAAAAACAAAUUCGUUUUUAUGUCCUCUUCUCCCUUUCCAUCCUUCAGCAUAGACUUAACUCCCUUAAGCCCAGACAUCUGUUGGGACCUGACCUCUAGUCAUUGGUUACCAGUGUGUCAGGCAAUCUGGAUUUUCCAGUGAUGCCGCUGAGAUGGCACCUGUCAAAAGAGUAGUGGUUCCAUUUCUAGAUUGUGGAUAUUCAGAUAAAUUCUGCCAUUUUCAUUUCACUUCAUGAAAGUCAGGUUCAGCCUGUGAAAAGUUGUUAAACAACAUGCUAAAUGUGAAAUGUCAACCCUCACUCUAAACUUUCCCUGUUCAGAGCAUCAGAUGAAGACUUCAGUGGCUUUCUGAUUUUUGGUAGUCCAUUGAAGAAGGGAGUUUGAAAGUUGUUGUAUACUGUUAACGAUUGUCUGCCCAUGUCCUGCCUGAAAUGCCAUGAUUGUUUAUGGAACGUAUCUUUAAUAAAGCUGGAUACAGCUUGAAAAAAAAAGAAGUCAACUUGCUACAGAGAAUUGAAUAGGAAAGAAUGAGGAAGAUUGGCUAGAAGGGCAACCUGACAGGGCCCCUCAGGGCACACAGGUCUUUCCCCACUCAGUACUGUCCCUCUCCUGAUUAUGCUUACUUUGUCUAUAGACAGUACCUUUUCACAUUCUUUCCUGCAAGACACAUUAACACAUUAGAUGGACAAUGAAAAAAAAAUACAUUAUUUUCUAGAUGAUAAGCAAGGAUCCAACAUAUGUUAAGCAAACAUGACACUAGUAACAUAUGGGUGUUUAACACAUGGGUGUGAUGUCUGUAAUGUGAGCAUAAGUAAUGUUACAAAAGGCAAUAUUUUCCUCAUCUGUAAAAUGGGGGUGAUAAUAAUAUCUGUAAGUUACAAGGUAUAAAGCACUUAAAGCACAACUUGGCCCAUAGUUAAUACUACAUUAUUCUUACUACUGCCUUAGUGCUUAAGAGCACACACUUUGGAGUCAAGUAAACCUGGGUUUGCAUCCCAGCUCCAUCGCUUAUUUGGCUGUAUCAGACUUUGUGCGACUGGGCAUGGUGGCUCACACCUGUAAUCCCAGCACUUUGGGAGGCUGAGCCAGGCGGAUUACCUGAGGUGAGGAGUUCAAGACCAGCCUGGCCAAUGUGGUAAAACCCUGUCUCUACUAAAAAUACAAAAAAUUAGCCAGGUGCAGUGGCACACACCUGUAAUCCCAGCUACUUGGGAGGCUGAGGCAGAAUUGCUUGAACCUGGGAGACGGAGGUUGCGGUGAGCCAAGAUUGCACCACUACACUCCAGCUUGGGCGACACAGCAAGACUUCGUCUAAAAAAAAAAAAAAGACUGUGUAAGUUACUUAACUCCUCUGAGCUUGUCAUCUUAUCUGCAAAAUGGGAUCACUAGCGUGUAUCUCGCUGAGCGGUACAGAUGAACUAUGUAAAGCAUUUGGCCCAAUGCCUGGCACUGCUAAGCAUGCAAUAAAUGGAAGUUACUAUCAUAAUGUGUAACACAUAUAAUUAUGACAAUUAUAUUUCCAAGAUAUUCUGGGAUCUUUACAGUUUCAUAAUUUUGCUCUUUUUACUAUACAACACUCCUUUUAUUGAAACAAAUACAGAUUUUGGAGUCAGACAGACCUAGUCUGGAUUUGAAUUCCAGCUCUCCUUCUUACCAGCCUGGGGCCAUGGAGAAUGUUGUCCAUUUCCCUGAGCCUCAGUGUUCUUCUCUGUAAAAUGUGGAUGAUACCUGACUCCCAGGCAUUUUGCCAGGAUUACAUGGGAUUCCUACACAGUGCAAUGUCUAGUGAUAAUAUAAAUACUAAAAGCAACUUGUUAAAUGUAUAAAUAAAUGUGAUUUAUUUUUGCUCCUUUACAUACAGUAUCAUGGAUAUAAUUUGUAGAUGUGUGUACUGUGAAUACAAUGGCCACUUCUCUUGCUCCCA
rnacentral:lncRNA from 1 species